rnacentral:lncRNA from 1 species
AAAGAUCCCUCCUCUCGCUCUAUUUAAGGAGGAGAUCCCUCCUCUCUCCUUUCCACCGAAGAUCCUAAGCCCAGUCGGCGGCAAUCAUCGAAAAACCACCGCGGAAGACCGACCUGUGCCCGUCCAAUUUGCUCGUCGGAAAAGCCUCGCCGGUGUCGGAGGUAAGCCUCCUUCCCUUCCUCUCUUCUCUCCUUUUCUUUGUAUGCCGGUGUACAUGCUCGCCGACGACCGGAGUCGCCGGAUUUCUUUGAGAAAAAGGAGGGUUUCCGGUUCCGUUGGAUGUUUGGGUGCCGGUGGUCACUGCCGACCACCGGUUUGGCCCUC